rnacentral:rRNA from 1 species
CCUACGGGUGGCAGCAGUGGGGAAUAUUGCACAAUGGGGGAAACCCUGAUGCAGCGACGCCGCGUGAGUGAAGAAGUAUCUCGGUACGUAAAGCUCUAUCAGCAGGGAAGAAAAUGACGGUACCUGACUAAGAAGCCCCGGCUAACUACGUGCCAGCAGCCGCGGUAAUACGUAGGGGGCAAGCGUUAUCCGGAUUUACUGGGGGGAAAGGGAGCGUAGACGGCAGCACAGGUCUAGAGUGAAAUCGCGGGGCUUAACCCCGGAACUGGUUUGGAAACAGUCCGGCUGGAGUGCCGGAGGGGUAAGCGGAAUUCCUAGUGUAGCGGUGAAAUGCGUAGAUAUAAGGAGGAACACCAGUGGCGAAGGCGACUUACUGGAAUGUAACAGACGUUGAGGCUCGAAAGCGUGGGGAGCAAACAGGAUUAGAUACCCGAGUAGUC